CCUACGGGAGGCAGCAGUAGGGAAUUUUCGUCAAUGGGCGCAAGCCUGAACGAGCAAUGCCGCGUGAACGAGGAAGGUCUUCGGAUCGUAAAGUUCUGUUGAAGGGGAAAAAGAGCGGAGAGAGGAAAUGAACUCCGAUUGAUAUUACCCUUCGAGGAAGUCACGGCUAACUACGUGCCAGCAGCCGCGGUAAUACGUAGGUGGCGAGCGUUAUCCGGAAUGAUUGGGCGUAAAGGUGGCGUAGGCGGCCUGCUAAGGCUGGGGUGAAAGGUACCGGCUCAACCGGUACAGGCUCUGGAAACUGGCGGGCUAGAGAGCAGGAGAGGGCGGUGGAACUCCAUGUGUAGCGGUAAAAUGCGUAGAUAUAUGGAAGAACACCAGUGGCGAAGGCGGCCGCCUGGCCUGUUGACUGACGCUGAGGCACGAAAGCGUGGGGAGCAAAUAGGAUUAGAUACCCUAGUAGUC
rnacentral:rRNA from 1 species